rnacentral:snRNA from 1 species
ACACUUACCUGGCGUAGGGGAUACCUUAAUCAUGCAGGCGGUUCCUCCAGGCCGUGGCUAAUCCAUUGCACUGCGGAGUGGUUGACCCUUGUGAUUAUUUUUAUUUUUAUCAAUAAAAAUAUGAUAAUAAAAAAUGUAUACCCGAAUAAUUAUUUU